UCCCUGAUGGUCCAGUGGCUAAGGCUCUGAGCUCUCAAUGCAAGAGGCUGGGGUUCAAAUCCCUGGUCAGGGAA
rfam:Ovis aries breed Texel chromosome 15, whole genome shotgun sequence.